ACUUGAUAUCCACUACAUAAAUGCCUUCAAAGGUCGGGGCAUUUUCACGACUGUUCCAUUCCAAAAAGGAGACUUUCUUUUGGAAUACAGAGGUAAACUCAUAACAAAAGAAGAAUGUGAGCGGAGACACAGAGUUUAUCAUGACAGCCUGAAGGUGUUCAUGUUUGAAUUCAAGUUUGAUGGAAAACUCUGGUGUGUGGAUGCAUCUCAAGAAGAUGGGUCAUUAGGCAGACUUGUCAACGACAACCACAUCAGUCCAAGUGCUAAGAUGAAAAUAUUAAAUAUCAAUGGA